rnacentral:rRNA from 1 species
CCUACGGGGGGCAGCAGUGAGGAAUAUUGGUCAAUGGACGGAAGUCUGAACCAGCAACGCCGCGUGAAUGAUGAAGGUCUUCGGAUUGUAAAGUUCUUUUCUAAGGGACGAAGAAAGUGACGGUACCUUAGGAAUAAGCCUCGUCUAACUACGUGCCAGCAGCCGCGGUAAUACGUAGGAGGCAAGCGUUAUCCGGAAGGACUGGUCGUAAAGGGUGCGUAGGUGGUUUGACAAGUUAGUAGCGAAAGUCCGGAGCUCAACUUCGGAACUACUACUAAAACUGUUUGACUUGAGUGCAGGAGAGGAAAGCGGAAUUCCUAGUGUAGCGGUGGAAUGCGUAGAUAUUAGGAGGAACACCAGUGGCGAAGGCGGAUUACUAGACUGUAACUGACACUGAGGCACGAAAGCGUGGGGAGCAAACAGGAUUAGAUACCCGUGUAGUC